rnacentral:tRNA from 1 species
CAAAGUGUAGCCAAAUAGUCAAGGCCUCUUACUUACACUAAGACUACUAUCUGUGCAAAUCAGAUCUCUUUGC